rnacentral:rRNA from 1 species
GACAGAGGAGGCAAGCGUUAUCCGGAAUUAUUGGGCGUAAAGCGUUCGUAGGUGGUUUGACAAGUCUGGGGUUAAAGCCCGGAGCCCAACUCCGGAUCGGCCCUGGAAACUGUCAGACUUGAGUAAGGUAGGGGUUGCGGGAAUUCCAGGUGUAGCGGUGAAAUGCGUAGAUAUCGGGAAGAACACCAGCGGCGAAAGCGCGCAACUGGGCCAUUACUGACACUGAGGGAAGAAGGCUAGGGGAGCGAAUGGG